rnacentral:rRNA from 1 species
UACGUAGGGUGCGAGCGUUAAUCGGAAUUACUGGGCGUAAAGCGUGCGCAGGCGGUUUUUCAAGACCGAUGUGAAAUCCCCGGGCUUAACCUGGGAAUGGCAUUGGUGACUGGAAGGCUAGAGUGUGUCAGAGGGGGGUAGAAUUCCACGUGUAGCAGUGAAAUGCGUAGAGAUGUGGAGGAAUACCGAUGGCGAAGGCAGCCCCCCUGGGAUAACACUGACGCUCAUGCACGAAAGCGUGGGGAGCAAACAGG